rnacentral:lncRNA from 1 species
UUUCCCUUUACCCAUUUGCUCGUACAGGAUUUUCUUUUGAACUUUUUAAUGCAGACUUGAUUUUCCUUUUGUUUGCGUGUAAUCCCCUUCCUCGUGGGGAACGAUAGGUCUCAUAUCGUGUUGCUGGCGUAGAUCCAAAUUUUCUAUGAUGUUUCUGUUAGGCAAUAUAUGGAUCUUUUGGGUUCUAAAUCAUAGUCCCAACUUUCUGAACAAACUGCUAAUAAACUUGGUUGGUGAUUAUUCUUAAUGAAUUAGUCCAUUUU